CUGGGAAAUAAAAGGGCAGGGGGCUGGGUUCUGUUUUGGCAUAGCUGCUUUAAAGAGUACAGAUGUGAGAAGGGGGGGUGUUGUGAGAGAGCAGUCAGGAAGAGGCACAGGGAAGGAAAGAGGGGCAGCUUGCGGGAGGGGAUAGAGAGCAGAGUUGUUCAGGAUUCUGGGGCUGGAAACUGGUGGUCGGGGAUAGGCAUGAGUUCUCCCAGUGCUGCCAUCUUGGGAGGAGGUACAACCAUGCUGGUCAGCAAGGGAAAGAGGGACUGGUUGGAGCCUAAGAGAGCUGGAAAUUGAGCUGGAAGCUGAGCCCAAGAGAUGGGCCAAAGAACAUCAUGGAGGAGCACACACCUGAAGAGGAAGAGCUGUGCCCAGCAAGUGUGCAGGGUGGAAAAAUUGGGUUUGUUUCCUUUUGGGCUUUGAGUUAAGCUAUCGAAGAGAUGGACAUUUGUCACUUAGCCUCACUGACUUAAUUCUUCUGGGGGGUGACUGGAGAGGGGAAACUGAGGUACAAGGUGGCCCUGGAGCCAGAGUGCGCAAGCUGCUGCUGUAAUGCGUGUACUUGGUAGGAUUUCACUAGUGCUCCCUCUUUAGUAAAAAGCAAGGGAUAGGCUAUAGUCUCUGCCUGCUUGUCAAACAGCAGCAGGCAGUCACAGGAACAGCCACAGCAGAACACCGAGGCUGUCCUCCUGCAGAACUAGCAGCAACAUCAUGAAGGGCAGCUUGUAGCCCAACAAUAACUGGAGGCCUACUGCUGCUGGAGGGAGUGCUAUCAGCAGUUCCUGGAGCUUGUCCUGCACUCAUCUGCUGCAGUGCUGAGGAAGUAAACCUGAAUCAAGGUGACAGGUCACUGGAUGCAAAGAGGAUGGAGUUCCCAGAAAAAUGGGGCUAGACCAAUUGGGGAUUCCCUAGACAUUCGAGAGAUUCCCUGGUGAUCUGUUUCCAGUGUGGGGUUACGUUAACAAACAAGACUCCCAAAAGGGAAAUGUUACUGAGAAUUUCCACAAUGCGAAGUCUCCUUAACUGGGCAAGAAGGGGAAUCUGAGGCAGUGGACAAGCCCACAGGUAUAACUGAGAUCAGAAUUAGGCCCUGUAAGUGGAACUUACCUAAGAAGUCUAUUGGUAGAUGCCAGGAAAUAGACUCAGUCUCACUCUCCCAGACCUGUAUUGGUUCAUUAGUGCUAACAGUAGUAAAAAGUAGCAAAUUUGAUUUAAGGCAAUAAAGCAAGCAAGAUUUUGCAUAGAACAGCUCUUUGGAGUAAGAAAGGGAUUUUUUCAUAACUUUUCAGGUUUUCAGAGCAGACUACACUUUACAUGUAACUUUGUCAGGCAGGCUAGUUGCGUAUUGCUUGCCCUAUGUCCUGUUACAGCAACUAACAUCCUUAUAAUUGGAGCUGCUGACCAUCAUCGAAUAUAAUCUCAGGAGGACAAGGGACUGGUUCAAGCUCCUCAACCAUCCUAACUUCAGUACUGGCCUCUGCAGCUUCUUUUCCCUGCCUGACUCUCUCCUGAGGGAAACAUCUGCCUUGAAUGAAUAUCAAGUUUUAAUCUUGGUGUGGAACAUAGACUCUGACCCUGACAGAGGAAAAGAAGCAAGAAACGCUGAGCGCACACAGUUCUCACUAGCUGCCAUUGGAGUUGAGUGCUCAGCACUUGAAAAUCAAGGCCAGCUGGAGCUUCCCAAAAGAGUUGAAGAUAGACAGCACCUCCCAUGACUUGGCCCUUAACAACACUCUAACCAGUAUCCUCCUAUCAGCGAUCUUGUCCUUUCUCAGAAUCCUCAUUUUUGAUUGAAAUAGACAUUAAAAAUGGUCAGUUAUCUGGAUCAAUUACCUUUAUAAACAUCCAGAGGAGUUUUUGUCUGUCUUAUCUGUUUUAUUAAAUAAAUGAAAGAAAGGAAAGAGAAAAUUAGCAGAUUUUGGUUUAGUAAGCAGUUUAAAUCUGCUCUGGUACAUUGAAUUCAGUCAGUCAGUCAGUCAGUCAUGUGCUUGGAAAAACCCAGCAGGAGUCCCUUCCACCAUAAGAACUUCUGACUGUGAAAUAAAGCCUGAGUAACCAGAUUAACU